GGGGGUGUAGCUCAGCGGGAGAGCGCGUGCUUAGCGUGCACGAGGCCCCGGGUUCGAUCCCCGGCACCUCCA